GCCUCUGCCACGUGUCCGCUGGGUGACCUCGGACGAGUCACUCCACUCCUCUGGGCCUCGGGGACCUCACCUGGAAGAUGUGGAUUUAGGCUGGGAGGCCCUCCUGGGACAGGCAUCUGCGUCCAACCCGAAGGUCUUCUAUCGACCCCGGCGCUCAGAACAGUGCUUGGUACUUUGAGCCGUCCCGUGCGAGGCGUUGUGGUGAUCGGGACCCAGACUGCGGGGAGGAGGAGCGGCUUGCGGCAUCCCAGGUCGUGCUCAGGAUGCUGUCCUUCGGCUACCUGUGCGGCCUCCCCUACCGGCCCGCCGCCUCCUCCGGGCAGCCCUCCGGGCAGCCCCCCGCCCAG